GGCCCAGGACUCAAUGCUCCUGAUUAGGCAAGAGCUGGCAGCUGGUGGAGAGCUGAGUCCCUUUUCUAGAAGUAGAGUCCUACCUUUUCCUCCCCUCUCCCCUAGUGUAUCCUUUGCAGACCCUCGGACCUGGACACCGUUUGGUGCGCUUCUGUGGGCACAUUCCCCUACUGAUUCAUGCAUCUGUCAACUGAAGUAUCACGCCGCUGGUUGUAGGCCCUUUCAGCUGUGCUCUCUUCCUGAAGCCAUCUGUCGUGUCAACUAGUCAUGGAUAAAGAAGCCUCUGAGGUCAGUCCCAGCCCACCUACAGUGACCAUCAAGAAGAAAGAUAAAAGUGCAAGAUCCGAAAAGUUCUCCAAAAAUGUUCUGAUCUUUUUACUGGGGAGGCAGCUGGGGAGGCACAGGAGUGACGUGGACCUGUCAAAGUGGCUGUGGAUGCUGACAUGAGCUGCCCCAGGGUGGAGCUGGCCAUGGCCAGUGAGUCCUAAAACCUACCUGCUCAUGCCUGUCUGUAACUUUAGAAAAAAAUAAAAACAAGUAACAAACUCCUCCCUUGUUUCACCUGUUAAAAUAAAAGGUGACUGUCACCCCUUUUGUCUUGAUACGUUUUUACGCCAGUACAGUUUUCCUGGGUUACACUGGAGAGGG
rnacentral:lncRNA from 1 species